GAUGAACGCUAGCGAUAGGCUUAACACAUGCAAGUCGAGCGGGGCGGCGGACGGGUGAGUAAUGCCUAGGAAUCUGCCUGGUAGUGGGGGAUAACGUCAGGAAACGGGCGCUAAUCCCGCAUACUAUCAGAUGAGCCUAGGUCGGAUUAGCUAGUUGGGGGGGUAAAGGCCUACCAAGGCGACGAUCCGUAACUGGUCUGAGAGGAUGAUCAGGCACACUGGAACUGAGAGACGGUCCAGACGCCUACGGGAGGCAGGAGUGGGGAAUAUUGGACAAUGGGCGAAAGCGUGAACCAGCCAUGCCGCGUGUGUGAAGAAGGUCUUCGGGUUGUCAAGCACUUUAAGUUGGGAGCCGUUACCAACAGAAUAAGCACCGGCUAACUUCGUGCCAGCAGCCGCGGUAAUAC
rnacentral:rRNA from 1 species